AGAGUUUGAUCCUGGCUCAGGAUGAACGCUGGCGGCGUGCUUAACACAUGCAAGUCGAACGAACCUUCGGGUUAGUGGCGGACGGGUGAGUAACGCGUGGGAAUCUGCCCUCAGGAGGGGGAUAACGGCUGGAAACGGCCGCUAAUACCCCAUAUGCCGCGAGGUGAAAUGAAUUUCGCCUGAGGAUGAGCCCGCGUCUGAUUAGCUAGUUGGUGAGGUAAUGGCUCACCAAGGCGUCGAUCAGUAGCUGGUCUGAGAGGAUGAUCAGCCACACUGGGACUGAGACACGGCCCAGACUCCUACGGGAGGCAGCAGUGGGGAAUUUUCCGCAAUGGGCGAAAGCCUGACGGAGCAACGCCGCGUGAGGGAUGAAGGCCUCUGGGCUGUAAACCUCUUUUCUCAAGGAAGAAGAUCUGACGGUACUUGAGGAAUAAGCCACGGCUAAUUCCGUGCCAGCAGCCGCGGUAAUACGGGAGUGGCAAGCGUUAUCCGGAAU
rnacentral:rRNA from 1 species